rnacentral:rRNA from 13 species
UGGGUUGCCUUGUCAGGUUGAUUCCGGUAACGAACGAGACCUCAACCUGCUAAAUAGUCACGAUCGAUUUUUUCGGUUGGCCGACUUCUUAGAGGGACUGUUGGCGACUAGCCAAUGGAAGUUUGAGGCAA